AUGAUGCCCUGGCCGGUUGUCUGUGGGCGCCGCCAUUGGCCCUGCGUGGCUGAGUUCGAGUCCCACGGCUGCGGAGCGAGACUGAGAGAGCCCUGCCGGCGGGGGGUGGCUCUGUCCCGCCUGCGGGCCAUGGCUCUGCCUGUGGAGAAGUGGGAGGCGCACGCUCGUCGGAAGUGGGCCUCGCUGGAGCCCUGUCUGCAGGAGAAGCUCUCUCUGGCAGUGCCGCUUGGGGACACCUUCCUCCUCUGCUUGCCCCUCUUCCAACCCGCAGACGAAGAAUUUUUGCACAGACUGGCCGUCACUAACUGGGUGGGAAAGGAUCCGAGAGCUGCACUUUUCUACAAGGAGGAGGGGAACAAGAGAUUUCAGAAAAAGGAGUACACAGCUGCACGGAUACUCUAUUCCAAGGCGGUGUCCCACAACAGCCCAGAAAUGUCAUUGUGUUAUGCCAAUCGCUCUGCAGCCCUCUUUCACUUGGGUCAGUUUGAGGAUUGUCUGGAAGACAUUGACAGGGCUCAAGCCCAGGGCUAUCCAGACAGAUUGCAGCCUAAGAUCUUGCUGCGGAAAACUGAGUGUCUGCUUCUUCUGGGAAGAUUGCAGGAGGCAGCAGGGGUCAUCAGCAAGGUGGAGAGUAAAAUAGCUAUGGAUCAGAGUCUGAGUAGUACCACACGCCAGAUUUUGCUAAGAAAGGUCAGUCAACUUAAAGUGAAAGCACAUGAGAAGGAGAGUAGCCCACUAUCGGUGCCGGAAGCACUCGGCAAAACUCAAAAGGACUUGGAAUUCUGGGAAGAAAAUGGUAAAAUUUCAAGUGCAUCUUCAUCUGUGAACCUGAACUUUAACUCCUGCAAAGGGCGUCAUCUGGUUGCCACCAAAGAUAUUCUGCCAGGGGAGAACUUGGUGAAAGAGGAGGCCUUUGUAAGUGUGCUCAGCCCAGGGAAGAGCCUGUUGCUCCAGGACAGUCCUGAAACAACAUGGGAUACUAGGAUCACUAAUGGGGAUCUCCACUGUCAUCGCUGCUUUAAGCAGCUCUUGGCUUCAGUGCCCUGUGGGGGGUGUAGUUAUGCCAAGUACUGCAGCAAGAAGUGUGCACAGCUGGCAUGGGAGCACUAUCACAGUACAGAGUGUCCAUUAGGGGCACUGCUGCUCACACUAGGGGUCUUCUCCCAUGUUGCCUUAAGGACUGUUCUAGUGGCUGGAUUUGCAGAGGUUAGCAGCUUAGUGAAGCAGUUUCAUGGAGACGACAAGGAACUUUACAAGACUGAAGCCAGAGGUAAGAGUCUGGAUGAGACACUAGAUUCCACAGCUGGCAUGGAGGGUCUCUCUGAGAAAGCAAAGUCUUUGAUUCCUGGUUGUGAGGAUGAUGGACAGUACCAGGGUUCUUACCAAGCUGUCUUCAACCUUUUGACCCAUGCUGAAAAGCACAGCCCUGAACACAAGUUCCUUUGCAGUCUGAGCAUAGUAGCCAUAUGCAAGAAACUGCUAGACACAGAUCUGACCAUUUUGAGUCAGGAGUCAUGUGAGAGCCAGUCCAAACUGAGAGCACAUGUGAAGAUGUCUGCUGAAUUGUCUCCGGAGCUGAAGAUUCUGGGAGAAGCAAUGCUGAGGCAUAUGUUGCAGCUGCAAUGUAAUGCUCAAGCAGUGACUGCAAUCCGGGAGUCAGAGUCCGGAGACAGCAUUGUUGCAGAUAGUGAGCAGGUGUGCCUGGCCACAGCCCUCUUCCCUGUCACAAGUCUCCUGAACCAUUCCUGUGACCCUAAUACUAGUGUGACUUUCAGUGGGACUGCUGUCACAGUCAGGGCAUCGCAGCCAAUCCCAAGAGGGCAAGAGAUUUUCCAUUGCUAUGGGCCUCAUCGAUGCAGAAUGAGGGCUGCUGAGAGGCGGCAACGGCUCCUUUGUCAGUAUUUCUUUGAGUGUCGAUGCCAGGCCUGCCUGGAUGAGUUGGGGUCUGAUGUCACAGGCAUAGUAGCCACAAGGGAUAUAUUCUGCUGUUCCAGCUGCCAUGCUUCAAUGCAGGGGGAAGAUGUGCUUCGUUGUUCCAGUGGUGCUUGUACACUAUUGGUUGGCAGGGAUUACCUCCUACACCAGUUAUGGGACCUUCAGCUGCAAGUUAAAACAGCACUGGGACUUCUCCAAGACAACCAGCCCAAUCAGGCUGUUGAGCUGCUGAUGAGGUGCCAGAUGGAUGCUGAGAACUUCCUGUCUGCAGAGCACAUGCUGGUAGGCGAGAUUGAGGAUCACCUGGCACAGGGUUAUGCCACGCUUGGAAAGUGGCAGGAAGCAGCGAGGCACCUGCAGCGCAGCAUUCAAAUUGUGGAAGCUCGCCAUGGACCGUCCAGUGUGGAAACAGGUCAUGAACUCUUCAAACUGGCGCAGAUCCUCUUUAAUGGGUUUGCAGUGUCUGAAGCUCUGUGCACAAUUCAAAGAGCAGAGACGGUUUUGUCUGUGCACUGUGGCCCUCAGAAUGCCCAGGUCCAGGAACUGCAGGAGAUGAGAGCCUGUCUGCUGGAGCUGCCCAGAAGCCUCCUUCACAGAGUUGAGUGACUAACAAAGGAAGCUGCCAUGUGGCAGGGCAGCCAUGCAAACAAGGCCUGGCUACAAGCUGGGAAGCUGAAGGAACAGAGCAGCUCCGCUCGCUGCUCUGAGCCCUGGCAGCCUGCAGAGGGCCAUGCUGUGUACAUACUCAUUUCCUGCAGUGUGCUUCUAAGUGCCUCCUCAGAGCUCAGCUUCAGCCUGGGUAUGCUCAGCACAGCGUGAACUGUCUUCAGCUCCCUGUCAAUGUCACGGACAAACUCUGAGGUUUCUCACUCUCCUUGUCAUGUUUUGUAUCAUACUCACCUGCUCUGUAGCCGAGUCCUGAGAUCUGCUGGGGGAGGCUAGGAGCCCUAGCCAUAGAAGAACAAACAGAGUCUGCAUGAUGGAACCUAGAAGGGAAGAACGCAAUAGAGCUGUUUGCCCUAGUCAAUCUGCCUACUUAUUUGUUCCAGUAGCUCUAUCUACUACACCUAGCAGGAACUGCAUUUGCAUCUCUGUCUGCAGCAGGAUCCGGUGUGCACAGCUGACCAGUUGCAAAUCCUCUGCCUUUGGCUUCUUCAGCUCCAGCUGCUUUGAGCUUCUUGAGAUUGUGGCAUGCACAUUUGUGGACACAUGGGCAGGUGUGCUUGUGCCAAAAAGCAGAGGUAGAGACGUGAUGCAAAUCACACUGGCUCUCAGACAAGACACCAGACUCCAUGGCCCUGAAAGGUACUAGAUCAGAUCAGUGCACAAGAGACUCUUCUUGCUGCUUUACAUCCCAAACAUUCAAAAUGUCAAUAUACAUACAAAAGCAGCAAGUGCAACAACUAACACUGGAUGAAAUAAAAGAUAGAUAGUUAAUGGGCUACUGCUGUUGUCCUGAACAUACAUACACCCCCUGCCCAGCCUUAAUUCAAUUCCUAGCCUCAGUCUUGCUCACUGAGUCGCCCUAUCCUUGGAGGAUUACUGUCUGCAUGAGCACCUUACUAUCACUCUCACUCAGUAGCUGAUUAAAUAGCAACAUUGAUGGGCUCCAAAGGGAGUCCCACGAACUCUUCCUCACCCUAAAUGCAUACCAUAGGGUAAAGGCUAAAGCAGAGAGGAGGUAAAGGACAGGACUGGGCUUACUCAGGAUUCCUGAUAGGAAAAAAACCACCAAGCUCCUAGAGCCAGUAAUCCUGUUCUUUUUCAAAAAUCCAAUGUUAACCUCUCCAGUGUCUGCAUGGGAGGAUUCUGUACAAUGAUGUGUCUGGCCCAAAGGGUAGUGUUACCCAAACGUUCAUCCUGGGUAAAUUAGAGCUAUUGCAGGGAUGCCAUGUCCCUGAGGUCAGAUGCCACAGGGGCUGGGUGAAAGCUAUGUUUAUAUACAUUCCAAAAAAAUUAAAGGAAGGGCACUUGUAUUUAACUAACCCCUGUGAUCCAGUGCAGCCAGAGGAGUAGGAGCCUGCACAUGCGUUUCAAAUUAAAUGCAGCUCUAAAGCAAACAUGGCUGUUGGUAGAAUUGCAAACUCUUAAAGCCACGUGUCCACACAAACUCUUAAAGCCACGUGUCCACAACGACUACAAUUCAGGGACCAGCCUGUUCAGGCAGAGGAUUCCCCUAUAAGAAAAAGCUCCCACAGACCCUCUCUCCAUAAUAGCAUAAUUUGCUUUAGGAAACACGAUGUGCCUCUACAGCAUCCCUGCCAAAAGAGAUUCCUCUGUAGCAUUGUUUCUGUUUAGAGCAGACAUGAAUCUGGCUAUGCAGUCCAAUUUCACAAAACUGCAUCUAUGCUCAGACACCAUCGCCCACCCAGGAGAGCGGUAUUCUGGAUUUCUUUCCAGUGCAGAAAUAUGCUUUGAGUAGAGCUGCUGUACUGACCAAAGUAAUGUUAGGUGGCGUGAUGGUGGAUGUGAAACAGGGACUUUUCAUUCCUGUGAGAGUGAGCCUUAUGGUAGGGAUUUCUGAGCAGGCCUGCCUCCUGCGGCACACCUGAGCAGAGAGGUUCUGGCUGGAUUGCUACUGAGGGAUGCCUUCUGCAAGCAGAUUCUUCACCUGGCUUUACCACUAGCAUAAUACGAGAGGUGUGCUCUGGGCUAGGGUGUGAGACGUGGGUUUUCCCAUGAAGUGUGGUCUUGUUCUGAAAAAAAUCUCUACAAAUACUCUGCAUCCCCAACUACUCUGUGCUCCUGGGGACGCAUGAGAAAUGGAGCGUGCAUUCCCAGAUCUUAUCUUUGCCAAGAUUGUCCACACCCUCAUAUUCUACGGCUUUGCCAAGAAGUGAUUUCCAUUUUAGAAUUGACAAAGCCCUGCUGAGCUUGAAUGGGCCUGAACUCUGGAUUCUAUUUUGCAGUUAUGAUGCACACAGCCAAAACUGCAGAUAGAAAAAGUCCUUGCUGGAGCAGAGCAGGGGUGAUUUCUAGCAUGACUUUAAAAUCUAUAGCUAUGUUUAAAAAGAAAGAAAAAGAUCUAGAGCACACAGUGUGAUGUUAGACUCAGAAAGAGCAGGUUGGGAAACAAGCUGAGAAGAUACUUUCAAAGCGUGAAUUGUCCCAUCCCUAGAUCUCUGCAGCUCUAAAAUAAAACAGCAUUUCCUCCAGGCUAGAGAGUUCUGAAGGUCUCUAACUAUCCUUAAGCAUAUUUGAGUGUGGGAUAUCUCAGCCACCCCACCCAUGAGGUCUGUUUCUCUCUAUUGGGGGGGGGGGGUGUCUCAAAGCACCUCACCAAGAGGGUCUGACUAAAUUUUCUGCUAGACUUAGUUA